rnacentral:lncRNA from 1 species
UUCACUCUAUAAGGAAGACCUUCAAUGGCGAUACUCCCACUUCAUCACACCUCACCAACCUCUCUCCAAAAUGACAAAACCCCCCCCAAAAACCAGUUAACUAGUUACUUCAUUGUUCUUCACUCCUUCAGUCACUCUCUGUUUCGAAUCCUCUGCUUCAAUUCCUCUGUUUCAAUUCCUCUGCCUCCAACUCUUCAAUCAUGCUGAACACUCUGGUUCCUUCUCCUCCUCUGGUCUUCUCCAACCAACUCCCUAUUUUAGGAAGUGGAAUGAAUGGUGGUCUUAUACUACCCACAACACCAAAUAAAGUCUUCGACAUCGGAGACGAGAGAUUGAUGAGUCAUUACUCGAUCAACGAUAGUAAUUUUAUACUACCCACAUCACCAAACAUCUUUCUCCACUAUGAGGACAAUUCGAUUUGUUCUUCGGGUGAGAGAUUAAUGAGUAAUUUUUCGAUAGUUGGUAGUGAUCUUGUAUUACCCACAUAAUCAAGCAACUUUCUCAACGGUGAGCACGAUUAAAUUUUUCCUCCAAACGAGAAAUUACUGAGUCAUUAUCCUAUGGAUGGUAGUAUUCUCAUACUACCCACAUCACCAAACAACUUUCGUAGCGGCAUGGACAAUCCAAUUUGUCCCCCAAACAAGAGUCCGGUAAGUCAUCACCGGCCCAAUGGUAGUAGUUUCUUACUACCCACAUCACGAAACAACUUUCUUAUUUGCGUAGACAAUCCAGUUUGUCCCCCAAACAAGAGUCCGGUAAAUUAUUAUCGGAAAUAUAGCAAUAGUCUCAUACUACUACCCACAUCAUCAAAAUACAAUUCUCAAUAGCCCGGCUGGCAAGAUAUUGAAAAAUCAUUAUUAGUCGGAUGGUAAUCUCGUACUACUCACAUCCCCAAACACUUUUCUUAUCAGUCAGGAUAAUCCAAAUUGUCCUUCAGGCGAGAGAUUGACAAGUCAUUAUCCUAUAAAUCAUAAUACACCCACAUCACCAAACAACUUCCUCAGAGGCAACAAGGACAGUCGAUUUUGUUCCUCGAACGAGUGAUUGAUCAGUCAUGACUUGAAGCAGAAAAUGCUCGGGAAUGAAGACCAAGUAAAUCAAAUCCCGGAAGUCGACAUCUUAAGCCACGAGCCUUGGGAUCUACCUUCCCA